AUGCAUAGGAAUCUACCUAGUAGUAUGGGAUAGCCACUAGAAAUGGUGGGUAAUACUGUAUAAUCCCUGCGGGGGAAAGAUUUAUCGCUAUUAGAUGAGCCUAUGUCAGAUUAGCUAGUUGGUGGGGUAAUGGCCUACCAAGGCGGUGAUCUGUAGCUGGUCUGAGAGGAUGAUCAGCCACACUGGAACUGAGACACGGUCCAGACUCCUACGGGAGGCAGCAGUGGGGAAUAUUGGACAAUGGGCGCAAGCCUGAUCCAGCUAUGCCGCGUGAGUGAGGAAGGCCUUAGGGUUGUAAAACUCUUUCAGUAGGGAAGAUAAUGACGGU
rnacentral:rRNA from 1 species